GUUUCAAUUCCCCAAUGACAUGUUCAUUAUUUAACCUUCUGUUUUCCCCAUGGUUUUUGUGCGUGAUUGUUAUAUGUAUGUUCGGUCUGUUAUUGUGGGCUCGGUAUUAUGACAUGUAAUUGGAAUAUUUGAGUACAGUUACUUGUGUUACUCAUUUCUGCCGUCCUACGCCUGACUCCUCUGCACCCGCUACACCCAGACCACUACACACCUUGUUUGUCUCAUUCUUCCAACCUAGCUAGUGACUUUAUAAAACACCAUAUUUGGUAUUUGUAUUUUAUAUUAUACCAACAAUAUAGGAAAGCAUCUGGUGGCAAAAUAGCCAAAAACAUAAAAUGAUUAAUUCCUUCAAGGUUUACAAAUACGCCCAAUCAAUAGAACAUUAUGUCAGAAAACAAUAGUCUAAACCCAAUGUCUCUACCAUAUAUGGUUGAAAAGUUACCGAAGAUUUACUCUGAGAAUGUAACCUCACAACACCAAAUAUGGAACACAUACAACAAAGUGCGGUGCAGUCUAAACUAGCAAUGGUCACAGAAAAUUAUCGUUAUUAUUUCAUCAACGCUGUCAAGUACAAGUAUAUUAAUGUUAUAAUAUUGUAGAGAACAAGCUAAUGAUUCAUUCUAUGUAAUUUCUAAUGACAUCAGGCAAAGAAAACAACUUUUAGACAUGAAUUUCGUAGCUCCCUCUUGAAUUGCCCCUUUUUCUCUCUACAUUGUAAGUGAAUACAUAAAAAGAAUAUAUGUCAUUCAUCAGACGCUUUUAUCCAAAGCGACUUAAAAUAAAACCUGCUGUCGUUUAUGUAUGGGUGAAGACGGGAAUCGAACCCACUACCCUGGCGUUGCAAGCGUCAUGCUCUAGCAACUGAGCUACGAAGGAGAACGUCAACGUAAUUCGAAUGAUGACGAGCAAUUUUAACGGAUCCUAAGGGAAUCAUAGAAUUCCAAACUAAUUUCUAGGGCGACACAGUUGGCAAUUUUGUAAAAAAUAAUUUUCGAACGUGUGUUGCCAAGAGACAUCUAACUGACGUUCUAUGGAAGGUUUUCUGUGCGAAAACAACUUCAGUUUGCUGCUGACAAKAAACUUGAUUGAUUUUUGACACCUGAGAAAGAAUAUCGACUGGAAAAUGCCUGGGUGCUUUUCAAAAUUGGCGGAGAGAGUGCGUGGACGUCGGCGGCCUACUGCGUCGACAGGUUGUUCAAAUUCAUUUGUGGCUUGUUUUUCUUGUCUUUUUCUGUUUUGCAGGAUUUGUGAUUGUCGACAGGUGGACAGCGACAACGACUUCGAAGAGGAAACAACUGUCCUGSAUGAGGUCCAGUUGGAUGUGCCAUUGGAUGAUGUGCCAGAUGUUCCACAGCUGCCAGUCCUCCUUGYUGUCCAGAAUGCUGCUAUCAUCCUUGAGAAUGUGCCAGAUGUGCAGACUAUCCUUGAGGAGGCCACUGGCAAUUGGCAGUUGAUUCCGAUUAGGUUCAGCCCC